rnacentral:rRNA from 1 species
AAAGGUAUAGGAUAGCACGUUGGAGGUACCACUUUCAGAUGGAUCGCUGAAGCAACGUUCCGCGUGGUUGGUAUCCGGAUGGGUGACCAUCUGGACAAUCACGUGCUGGCCUUCA